UACGGAGGGAGCUAGCGUUGUUCGGAAUUACUGGGCGUAAAGCGCGCGUAGGCGGCUUUUGUAAGUUAGAGGUGAAAGCCCGGGGGCUCAACCCCGGAACUGCCUUUAAGACUGCAUCGCUUGAAUCCGGGAGAGGUGAGUGGAAUUCCGAGUGUAGAGGUGAAAUUCGUAGAUAUUCGGAAGAACACCAGUGGCGAAGGCGGCUCACUGGACCGGUAUUGACGCUGAGGUGCGAAAGCGUGGGGGAGCAAACAGG
rnacentral:rRNA from 1 species